GGUCUUAUAGUCAAUAUAUGACGUCAGAUUGCAAUUCUGAAGUAGUUUUAAACUAAGGCCU
rnacentral:tRNA from 1 species